rnacentral:misc_RNA from 1 species
CGUCAAAGAUACGCGUAGAACAAGUAGCCCAGACGACGCCCACAACCAGAGCCGCUACCAUAUCAAAAUCAGAAUCAAUUCAAAGCGAAUCGAAUCGAAUCGAGUCGCCCCCAACCAAGCAGUUUCGCUGUGAUAUUUAUGCCACAACUUCUAGACACGAUACUCGGCCGAGUAUUGAAUGUCGUUGGGUCUAAUCGAAUGCCAAUUAGAGGUAAUCAGUGGACGGCAUAUUUGGACCGGCUGUAAUUUAUAAAGACAUCAGAUCAGUGGGUUCAAUCCUCCCUCGCCUCGAAUCAAGGUCAGGGACUGAGGGCUAUUGUUGGACCCUUUUUUUGCUGCCGGACCGGAAAUGCAAACAGAAAAAGUCGCUCUCUCUCUCUGACAUGGAUAUGAGCGUUUCUCCAUCUCCAGCGGAAGUUCAUCGAGUGGCUCCAUCAAAUCUUUGCAUUCCCAUUACCUCUUUCCUGUUUUCCUCUGGCCGUGGAAGCCUUUCCUGGGUCGCCUUCGCCUCGACCUCGAUGCAGUAGCAGCUUGACUUAUGAAUAUCUUUCGUGUAUUUUUUCUUUUCAGUAUUUCUUUUUAUGGUUUUUUGUUGUUUUUUUUUGUUGUAUUUUUGCUGCUGCUUUUUCUUGCUUUGAUCCAGUAUUUACAAGCGUGUUUAAUCGUAAUCGCCAGAGAGCAAUUCGCUCGUGUGCACAAUGUUAACGGAGUUUAUUCCUUGCUUUUUUGUUAGUCUUGGGAGAAACAUAUAUAUGUAUGAUAUCAUGUUUAAAAACAUAUCUGCAUCUA